rnacentral:lncRNA from 1 species
GUUUAUGUAUUCUAAUGCAUGUUAGAAAAUUGAAUAUGUAGGAAACAAGGCUGCAUGAAGAAAGUGUGUUGUUACUGUGCAGUUAAAAUUUUGGCUGGCUUUCUUUAGUUUGAACAACAUUCUUGUCUACCCCAAUAGUCACAGGUGCCAUCUCUGCAACAGAAAGAGUGGUGGUGGCAAAAUUUCCAGAAUGUUAAAAAAAAAAAAAAAAAACACCCAUGUGCCUUUUUAAAACCAACUAGACUUUUCUAUAAAACAUCUCUGGUUCUUUCAAAGUUUGUGUUAUAAGGAGAAAUGUAGACAGUGCUAUAGUACUUCAUAUUUUUGCUUAUGAUGACAACUACCAAUUCUUUUUCAUUUAAGUUAGAUUGAGAAAUUUCAUUUAAUGGCAGCUGAAGGGCCAUUUUCAAUUGGGAGAGUUCAUUUACAUCUGUAGUAAACUUUAUUUUGAUGAAAAGUUGCACUAGUAUUUUACCACAAGAUGAAAAAUAAAAAGAUGAGCAUCAUUUAAAAAUUAAUGUAUUUAAAAUAAAGUACAGAGAAAAACAUGUAUAUAAUAUAUCAGGCUUUGUUUUGAAUGGAAUCUUUUCCCCCAAUCUUUAAUGUAAAGAUCUUGUGUGCUAUAACUUUUAAAGCCAUACAAAUAAGAGUGCUAAACUGUGGACUUAAA